GGGCCAAUCGUAUAGUGGCUUAUUAUGCUGUCUUAGGGUUAUACGGUUGCUGUGAAGCAGUCUCGAUCCUAAGUUGACAGAGGUCCCCGGUUCGAUUCCGGGUUGGCCCC
rnacentral:tRNA from 1 species